rnacentral:lncRNA from 1 species
AAGUGAUAAUCAUGGCAAUGAUGGAAGGACUCUGACCUGGUCCGCUGUUCGACUCCCUUUCCAAAAACGUUCCUGAAACUUUAUCCGCACUCCAGAGCAAAGCCGACAAGUAUAUCGCCGCAGAGGAGUUGGCCGAGGCCAAACGAAGGCGACGAGGAAAGGAUGAUCAUAAGAGGAAAGAGCCUGAUACGAGGCGGGCUGAU